UUUUAUCCAAAUGAAGAAAGUCUUUUGCUUCUUCUCUUCUCCUUUUCUAUUUUCCUGCUUAAGGCAAAUAGAAAUGAAGCAAUUUGCAUAUGGGUUGCAGAUGGUAUUUUCAUGGUAUCCAUGCUUGAUGCUUAUAUUAAUGUUUUUUUUUUUUUCCCCAAGUUAUUUGGUGAUAUGAUUUACUUGAACUUUUGUAAGGUUAUUCUUCAAAGCAUGUGGAUUUGGGGAUGACAUAUUGGGUUCCACCACAAUGAUGUAUGCCAGGGCUGUUUCAACUUAUCCCGAAGGUGAUCAGAUGGUUAAAUCUGCAGGUCGAAGACUUCUACUCGUUCCACCGAUCAGAAAGCCCUUUGAACCUUAGAAGAGUGUCAAAUUGUAGAGUUCAGUGCAAGUGCUAAUAUUAGUAGAACAGGAGAGAAAGCAGAGUGUGAAUAUUAAACUUACGGCUGUGGAAACAAUAUCUAAGAAUGGAAGUGAAAAAGGGAACAGCAAACAAGGGGUUGGACUUUUUAGGUGAUUAUCAUUGGCUCCCUUCGUAAUGAAAUAACAUUUUAUCCUUUUAUUUAUUUAAGUAGUUUUUAAAAAUGAGUUUUGCACUUUUGUCUAUACUUAUUAUUGUUCAUACUUCUGAUUUAGGAUUUCUUAAUAAUAAAUUUAAAUAUGAGGCUAGUUGAAUUUAAAUAUUAAUCUUUCAGUAUGUCUUUUAUAUUAAAUUUUAAUAUUGAAAUAUGAUUUUUUUUUUUUUUAAUAUUAGAUAUAAAUAUUAGUUAUCACCGUAACAAUUUAGUUCAAGUAUUAGUAAUUUAAUCAUAAUAUUAAGAUUAAAAUGAUUCUAAAUUUUAUGUUGAAAUCAUAUCUUGCACUUAUUCAAUAUAAAAAUUUUCAUAAAAUCUAUUGUUUAACUGUGUAGUUUUCUACUUCAUCUAAUUUUACUACUAAAAAUGAGCCAAUGACACUUUUUUUUAUACUCAAUUUUAAUUAAAGCAUAAUCUAACAAGUUCACCCUAAUAGCCAAGGUAAAAAUAAUUUAUCAUAUGGGUUGGAAUAACAGAGAAACAUUGCAACUAAAUAUAUAAAAAUAUGUAUUAAAUUUUUUCUUAGAAAAAUAUGUAUAAACGUUACAAUUGAAUUUAAAAAAAUCAACAUGUAAACGUUAGAAUCAAAUAUAGAAAAAUUAAUAUGUAGCUGACAAUUUUAAAUGAAAGAACCAACUAUACCAAUUAAUUGUCUGUAAAUUUACCAUAAGUAGCAUGCAUUUAUAUAGCAAAAUAUUCAUCAAAUAGUGACACUUUUUUUUGCCAAGUGCGCGGCAAUAGAAAACCUAAGGCUUCAUUUAUUUCUGCACGAUAACUUAUUUUUGAAAAAUAUUCUUCAUAACUUAUUUUCUAUUAUUUUAUUAAAAUAUUAAAAUUUAUCCUUUAUAUUGCAAAAAAGAAAAAUUUAUUAUUAAUACUAAGGCAAAAAGUCUUCAUUAGUUUAGACUUUUGCAUGAUUUCUUGUGGCACACAGAUUUUUACUUGAACUUUUGUAAGGUUAUUCUUCAAAGCAUGUGGAUUUGGGGAUGACAUAUUGGGUUCCACCACAAUGAUGUAUGCCAGGGCUGUUUCAACUUAUCCCGAAGGUGAUCAGAUGGUUAAAUCUGCAGGUCGAAGACUUCUACUCGUUCCACCGAUCAGAAAGCCCUUUGAACCUUAGAAGAGUGUCAAAUUGUAGAGUUCAGUGCAAGUGCUAAUAUUAGUAGAACAGGAGAGAAAGCAGAGUGUGAAUAUUAAACUUACGGCUGUGGAAACAAUAUCUAAGAAUGGAAGUGAAAAAGGGAACAGCAAACAAGGGGUUGGACUUUUUAGGUGAUUAUCAUUGGCUCCCUUCGUAAUGAAAUAACAUUUUAUCCUUUUAUUUAUUUAAGUAGUUUUUAAAAAUGAGUUUUGCACUUUUGUCUAUACUUAUUAUUGUUCAUACUUCUGAUUUAGGAUUUCUUAAUAAUAAAUUUAAAUAUGAGGCUAGUUGAAUUUAAAUAUUAAUCUUUC
rnacentral:lncRNA from 1 species